rnacentral:sRNA from 1 species
CAAGGCAAAUUGAAAAAUGCUCCACGUUGGAGCAUUUUUCAUUUUUCAAAUUUGAAAGACAAAUUGAAAAAUGCUCCACGAUGGAGCAUUUUUCAUUUUUCAAUUUUUAAAG